rnacentral:rRNA from 1 species
CCCUUAGAUGUUCUGGGCCGCACCCGCGCUACAAUGACAAAGUCAACGAGUAGAUCCGUUACUGAUAAGUACCGGUAAUCUUUUCAGUCUUUGUCGUGAUGGGGAUAGACCCUUGUAAUUAUUGGUCUCCAACGAGGAAUUCCUAGUAAACGCAAGUCAUCAACUUGCAUUGAUUACGUCCCUGCCCUUUGUACACACCGCCCGUCGCACCUACCGAUUGAAUGGCCCGGUGAAGUCUUCGGACUGGAGCUGACUCGUUAGCUCCAGAAAGUUGAGUAAACCUUACCAUUUAGAGGAAGGUGAAGUCGUAACA